AAAAGAAUAAAACUUCUCUUUGAUCAGUGGUAAGUGCUACCGGUAAUGUCAGGAUCACCAGCACAACCUUGGGAAGCAGGCGAUUCUGAGUGUCCAAAGGGCACCUGUGGCUUGUCCAACUUGACCACAAGCCCUGCUGUCAGGCAGGAGCAUGACGGGGGUGUUCAGUCCCCAGUGUGUGUAAAGUAACCCUCUGCUCAUCCAUCCCACAGCUUGGCUUCGGAUGAGGCGGAGGCCAGGCAGCAGGCCCCCAGCUUGCAAUGACCUUGACAGCCCCUCCGCCGCUGUGGGGUUUUCCUUUCUUCUGCAAGUAGGAAUGCAGUUGUGGUGAACAGGAUGGAGAAACCGUGACUGAGAUAAUACCGGUAAAGCACAUGAGGAGUAGAGCUACUAAAGGCCGACCCUGGGUCAGAGCCCCUGCUUGCCAUUAUGAAGACUUAGAUAAUCAUGGAAAGACCCAGAGAACAACUUAUCUCACCAACAAACUCCUGCUUCUACUGCUAGCUAAUGUUUAUUGAACCCCAAUAUGAACUAUUAAGAAGUGCAUGAAAAUAACCCUGUGCAGGGAGGCUCUGCCUCUUCUUACCAACCUCCAUGAUUACCCAGCCUGCCUCCAGCUCAGUGGAACCUCCCAGUGCAGGACUUGGAACUGGAUUUACAACAACCCUCUCCAGUGGACACUCAGGAGGGGGCCUGGGAUGAACAGCCCAAUGGCACUUUAUACUACAGCAUGCAGGGGAUACAUUAUUUGGCUCUCUCGUGUCUGGAAUUUUCCAAAUGGACACAUGACUUUAAACCAGCUUUGAUUUAUUUUGCAACGUGGCUCCUUUCCAAGUACCCUUUGUCCCAAUCAUCCAAGAAGGAUGUAUGCCUUACAAAAUCUGAAUGAGGCUGCUUUUCCUUGCCACAGCAUAGCUAGUAACCCCUGGUUGUUUCUUCUUCUUUUUAAUUAACUUAAAAAAUUUUAAGCCAAA